AUUGUUUGUAGCUUAUCUGUAAAUAAUGCUACAUCAAGGAAAAAAAAACAGACAAAUUGCAAAAGAAGUGGUUUAAUCCACUUUUGAUUUAAAACGUUAUAUCUGUUUUGGGGUUGCUAGUGCUUAGGAUACCUCUUUCACAGUGCACAGCUUGGACAGCUGUGAGAUAUGGUGCUUUGCCAAAAUAGACUGUCAUAUUCAACUGUCAUCUCCAAAGUAAACAUAAGAUUGGAGAUUGGAUAAAGUAGCAUUGAGACAGUUUUGUUUUAUCAGGGCUGUCUGGAAGUAAAUUUUGCAAGGUAAUGGGUAUGGGGAAUGUUAUAUUCUAGCUAAAUUAGAGUAGCAUGGUAAAAUUUGCUAGAAAUCAUAGAAUGGUUUGGGUUAGAAGGGACCUUAAAGAUAAUAGUAGUCCAUAUUUUGGUUUUAUUUAAUACAGUAUAAUUUGGAGGCAUUCUUUUACAUGAAAGAAAGCAGAGUCACAUCUAGUGCCCAAUUUUAUGGGAAGAAAGAAUUCAGGGAGUUGAAGAGGGGCCAGAUGGUACCUGUUUUAAUUUCAUGGAGCUGUUGAUGUAGUUUUAGUAAGUAAAAUGAAAUGAAACGAGCAGCAGAUUCCACAGCAUUUGCACAUAGACUUUUUUACUCUUUUUGCAGUUAGCAGUGACUAUUUUGUUACGUUGAUCACUGUUGGGAUAACAGAACUAUAAACCCCAGGAGGAAGCAGCAAACUGUUAUGAAAAGAACAACCAUAUGAGCAAAGCAUCAGUCUGAUAAUACUCAAAGAUAGCAGUAACGUGACCUCUUGCUUGGAGGUGUGGGUAAGAGUAGAACUGUGUAAUGUACCCCAAAAUGCCUACCAACAGGAGAAGAAAGUCUUGUUAUGUGCCAUGCUUCCUCCUAUUCUUUGUAGAAGCCCCUUCCUGCGAGGUUUUCCAGAAGCUGAUGAAUACGGGUGAAAAAGUUUUUUUGCUUUGUUUUUGUAAUAUGCUUUUGCCUAAAGGACCCACGUUACUGCAUGAUCCUAUGGAAAGAAAGCCAUCGGUUCUUAGAGGGGGCAUGUUUUCCUAUAUAUUUUCCUAAUUCCAUAGAAUUAGUGUGUAGAAUCUCUCACCUCUAUGGAUAAGACCCUGGAAGAGCGAAGAACCUCUAAGCUUUAAUAUCUUUGUCCCCCCAUGCCCUGAACUCCCUUGUCAGAGUCCCUGUGCCAAGUUUACCAUUCACAGAUAGAGCAGAGGGCAGCCUCCGCGUUAGGCAGCCACCUGCUUUGCCCGUGCCUAGAGCUGCCUCUGCUCUCUGGUUACUUGACAGUACGUUUCACUUAUUAUAGAAACUAUUCUUGUUUUCACAGAGUUGUUACAUACUUGACUAGGUUCAUCAAAUCAGUAAACUGCUUAUACAAGUAACUGCUCAGCUGAGCAAGUUAUAAUGUAUCUCCAAUCUCUUAUCAAGCACUUGGUAUCUUCAACUGAAAACUGCUAUAGAAACUUAAUUACCAUAAUUAAUUGAGAUGGUAAUUAUUACACUGGUUUGUACUUGUAUGUUCUGUCACUAGCAAUAAAUGUACAAGAUGGGCUUGAGAAUUCUUAGAGGAUUAUUUAUACUAGAACCGAUAUGCUGCUUAGCUUGCUCUUAAAACAAUAAUAAUCCUCAAAUGUUUUCAACACUAACACAGUUUAAAGUCUAUUAUAUAUUUAGUUUGCUCAUCUGUCCUUUUGAUAUUUGCUUUUCAAAAAAUGGUUGUUGAGGCAUGUCUUGAAAGGAUAAGGAUUCGUCUAUAGAGUUUAGAGUUCCUGUUUUAGACCUCUCUUUCCCUGUGAAAACAAAAAUGCAUGCGUAGCCUUUUGAGUCUCUUGUGGCUCAGGAUAUGCAGCUAUGGAAUUUGCAGUCUUUCAUCUUCUUUUUUAAUCUGCUUUCAUUGCCAUAGGUAUAAAUGAAAUCUUUGUUUCCAUUUUCUCUAAUUUUCUGCUUAGUUUCCAUCAAAGCAAGCUCUUCUUGUGGGCUUUAAAAUAAUCCAUUACUGUAAUGCGCUUUUUUUUUUUUCUUGAAUUGUUAUGGGCUUUGUUUCAGCAGGGAAUGAACUGUGUGUUUUCUUCAGUAUUGUGACCUGUAAAUUGCCUUCUUUCUGGAACUGCUGCUUCUGCUUUCUGCUUAGCAGUGGAGUGGGCACUAGAUACAGAUAACCCUUUCCUGCCUCGUAAUGUAGCGAUUUGAAACCAGUGGUGCCUGCAAGCAGCUUUGGAUUUCAGCGAGUGUACUCUUGGCCAGGAAAUGACAGUUUAAGCAGUAAUUUGUUUACCAAAGUUUGCUCUAGAAGAACACGACCUGAAUAAUGAACAUCACCUCUUCAGAGGCUGCCAAGAAGCUGCUGUCAGCAUAAGCCCUAUCACAGUAACAAUGUCAGUAUUCUGGUUGCAGACAACUUGAAAAGAUCUAUAGGUAAUGCACUAGGUGUAUCAGCAGUUUUGGGUACAUAUUUGCUGUUAUUUUUUUAAAUCCAGAUAUAGUUUACUUACUACAUACAUCCUGAUCUCUCAUAUUUUGGGACCUGGGUUAAAGAAAAGUAGAAACAACUUGUAAAAGAUGUGAAACCUGCAUAGUCAGGAUCCUGCUAAUGUCUUCAGAUACUUCAACAUUUUUGCAAAAACUUGUAUUUACUUCCUUGCUGUUUUGGUUGUUCACUUUGACAGUUUUAAAUCUAAUUUUAAAGAGAUCUUGUGUUAAUUACUUUCUCCACUGACUUGUCUUUUUGUUUCUUUAAAUUGUAAAUGUCCUGCUGCGAUCAGGACUUGGUAAUAGCAUCAUGCCUUGCAUCAUGAGAGACAUUGAGGUGUCACUGGGGUCAGGUAUUUUUUCUGCUUAUAUGCCACAAAAUGUUAUACUUGCUUUGCAGCACAAAUGAGAUACGGGUUGCUCUUUGCCCAGAAACAGGAGGAACCAGUCAUGUGUAUGGGCUGGAAGCUGGUAACUGUUUGGUAACUGGUGGGUUUUCCUUCCCUUCCCUCUACUCUAGAUAAAGCAGUUACUUGCAGGUGUUUUUUAAUACUCCUCUUUCUUUGUUGUUGCUUUGCUUUUUUCUGCACUGGAAAAGUAGCUCUGGCAAAUUGCCACUAUCUUGUUUUGGAGGAAAAUCUAAUGAGGACAAAUGCAGUUUCUUUUCAGCAAUGUGCAUGCUGUCUUGUUUCAGGAGCACAAUGCAGUCUAAAAUUGAAAAGCCUAAGGAGAAUCUGUCAUGUCUAACAUUUUGAAGUGAAACUGAGUUUUGUAGGAAACUAGUUUUGUCACACCGUUAGUGAUGUUCAGGGCAAACAGUUAACAUUUUAGUACUGCAUGCAUGAAACUAAUAGACAAAUUUGAUCACUUGAUCUCAGAUGACUGAACCAGGAAAAUGGAAUUGGGAAGAAAACCUGUGCCUCCUGACAGUUAAUGCUCUGUCUCUUGACUACAUCAGUAUCCUUUUCCAGUCAGUAUUGUUUUGUGAUUAGAUUGUAGUACAGUUGUGUGCUUAAAAUCACAGUCCAGAACUGCAGACAAAAGUAAUCUUGAAAUUGUUGAAACAGUUGAUGUAGAAAGGCACAUGCAUAAAUGCACCUUUAUUCGUGAACUUUACUAUUUAAUUUCUGAGUCUACUAAUGUCCUGGCUACAGGAAUUAGGUACUUGGCUGAUCAGACUCUUCUUUUGUGUUGAUGAAGUGACUUGGUACCAGUAGUCACUAUUACAGAACAUUGUAUCACUGCAAGUACUUUUCCGUCUGUUAUCAUUUCUUUUGCCCUUGGUGUGCUUUACUUGGCAUUGAUGGAGGAACAUCAGACUUUCAUUUGUAUGCUUAUCCGUAUGUAAAGAGAGACUUCUGCUCUCAGUUUGACCACUGUAAGUUGUGACCAGUCUAAUGAAAUAAGUGACCUAUACAGCUUCUGUAAGCGAGGUAGGACGUAUUAAUCUUGUCUCUCUGCUCAGUCUUGUUAAUAGAAUGAGAAAUUUACAUACAGUGAAUAACUUGUCCACAGUCAGAGAUGGUAAUAAUCAUUAAUGAAACUAUAAAGGGGGCAUUGCAUGCCUUUUUUCUUGAUCGAUUUCUGGCUUGGCCCUCUGACUUAAAAGCCUCAUAGAUACAUUGAUGUAGCAACUCAGUGGAUUACUGUCUAGUGAAAGAAUAUUCUAAAAGCCUCUGUUUUGGUAGGGGUACAAUUGAGGCAUCAUUCUGUCUGCCAGAGUAAGUCAGAAUUUAGAGGAAUACACACACACACACUCUCAUAUAUAUUUAUGUUCUCUUUCCCUCUGUUUGAGCAUUGCAUUCAGCUUAAAGGAUUUAUUAAGAAGCCUUUUCAGUUGUUUGUGUUUAGGAGGGAGAAAACAAUUAAGUUAUUUCUUUGAUAUUGCCAAGUCUCUCCAUAUAACCAGAUUAAACCCCAAAACCAUGUUAAGCAAAAACUGUGACAGUAAUACACUUUUCCCUCAAGACUGGGUUAUUCAGGCUGACUUCUCUCUCCAGUUGUUCGAACAUCUUUAAUUUCUAGAUAUCCAUGCAUUAUUAAUCUUUACUGCUGAUAUUAAGCUGCUCAUAAAACAGGAAGUACUCAACUCCUUUGUUACAUUUUUUACAAUAUCCUCCUUUACCUCUUGUAUACAUACUUUCUAGAAUUAGGGUUGUCCAAAAUGAAAAUAUCCGUAUUUUAAAUUGUGUGUGUAGAUUCUUACAGGGUUGCUCUAUAUCUGUUUAGCAGAUUGUCUCCCCUAUUUGCUGUAGCUAUUAACGGGUUAGUAUUUUAUAUAAUUGCUACAGGAACAUAAAAUCAUACUUUCUCAUGUUAUUUGAGUUUAAGUAUGAAUUGUAAUCUGCAUGAAGACAGAAGAGCAGUAGUCUGAGCCUUUGGUUGGAUGGAGUGAAAGCAAUUUCACCAUCAGUGGCUGUAACAGAUGUUAAUGCCGUAGGGAAAAGCAGAGCUGCCGCCUGUGGCAGCAUAUUUGGUCAGAGUCUUUUUUGUUAUUGUUUGAGUUAACACUGAUGUGGAACUAAUAAAGAUGUAACACUUGUGUGGAUGUGCUGCAUAUAGACAUUACUGGACACAGGGCCCAUUUGGUGAGGAAAUGGGCUUAGCUAUUUUUUAAAAUAUUUGCUGUUGUAGCAGGCAAAAGAGGACAAUAUCCUCAAACAAUCAGAUUUGUUUGUACUUAAGAGGGUUUUUUUCACUAGAAACAAAGAACUUGGUCUGUGAUCUACUUUAUGUAUCAUCAGGAUCAGGAGUGAUGUGGAUGUCUGCAGCUUGCUGUUAGGGUGUAAAACCUUCAGUGGUGUCAGGAUAGGAAAAUCAGAUCAUUAAGUGGGUGACAAACUUCACUGCUAAUAAAUGUGCCAAAUCGUGUGGUAGAGGAGUGCCGUGUUUCAAUAAUGCUGUUGUUUUUUUGAGCUCUAGGGAAGUCAACUUAUUUCCAGUUUCCAGCUUCAUCUUGGCAUAAGAGAGACAUAUGAGUUGUGUCUUGGGUUAUAUAUACAAUUGAAUUUUUCACCCCUCUGUAGACUGCUGUAUAGAAUCUGCUCUGAUACUUCUGUACUUAACCUUUCUUUUUUUUAUACUUUCUUACCUAGGUUUUCCCCUUUUGAAAGGGUUUAUGACAAAGUUUUUCUGUCAAAUCUUUUUUAAAAAGUAGUAAAAAUAACAUUAGAUCAGAUGUGGCAUUUCGUUUGCAUAGCUUGGCUGCCGGGAACAAAGAGAACCUGUUUUAUUUAAUUUGCUAAAUCUUUUGACUCUUCGAUUCCAGGCAUUAGCUGUUGACAUUCAUACGAAGUCUUCCUUGAAAAGGAAAAAAAAAAUCACUAAGCACAUCUAAGCUUAAUAAUAAGGUUUUGCUGUUAAUCAAUAGAAUCACUAACAUAAUGUAUUAUCCUUCAAAAGACCAUUCUAGGUAUCUACAUCUGUCUCAAAACCUUGAGCAGGGUUAAGUGUUGAGAAGUAUUUCAGUAUGUUCAGUGAAGCUAAUGUCUGUUGUUCAUGGGAGAUCCAGGUCUAGUUCCUUAGGAGAGGCUGUGUUUUUUUUGGUUGCGUAUCCACUGAACCUGGUGGGCUCUGACUCCUGGCUGAGAGGGAAAUAAAGCCAUCCAUUUUCCCCUGCAAGAACCAACAGUGCUUAUCGUUCUGUCUUCUCUGAACUACUUCUGAACAACUGGCCCACAGACAGGAGUACCAUCCAUUUCGGAUAUUCCACCGUUGUUACUUAGAGUGCCUCUGUGCAGGAAGUCAAGAAGGUAGCCUCGGUUAGGCAAGUAGGAGACUAGUUCUUAGAUUUGCACAUAUUGGGCAUGAGAGUUCAGCUUUGCAAUGGUCUUGGCUUUCUGCCAGUUCCUUCAGUCACUGCAGGCUGUUUGUUGUAACUCAACAGGAAACCAGACAAUCUGCGUUUUCUCAAAUUUACAUAUUUAAAUUCUAAUUAUACUGUAAAUCUGAAGUGACUGUUCCUUAUCUUUUGGGGUUUUGGCAGUAUUAAUCUCUGUGUAACCCUACAGUAACCAUAAGCCAUGACCUCCAGCUCUGGUUUAAAUAUAACUGAAUUCAAUUGUAUUUUCCCCUUAGUAGUCCUUUUUUGGUCAUCCUGGGUAUUUUUGUUUGGUUUUAAAUUAUGCAAAAUCUUUUAAGAGUAGGAAAAUUAAUGUAGAAAUAUCUUGUACACUCCUACUUCUUAUUAACAUUCCCCUACGUCUUGAGGGCUCCUUCUUAGCUUGGGCUCCCUGUUUGGUACUGUUGCUGAAGAACAGUGCGUAGCCUUUGUUUGUGUUCCUCAGGAGAGGAGAAAAAUACUGAUAAAUAAGUGGGUUUGUGCUUUUUAUUUCUCUUGUUGAGCAUUAGUAUUUACCAACUGUACUGUAGGAGUGUUAUAGGUGGUGAUGAAACAUGGUCUUUAAAUCCUGGUGUUACACAGACGGCAACUUGUAAUGUGAACUGUACCACAAGCGUAUGCAAUGCAGAUUUUGAUACUUUUAUAAAUUGACACUAAACCCGGGUAUUUAGUAGUUUUAAACACAGUAAUGCAAUAUUUAACUCUACCUACUAUAGCUCUUUGUGGGCAAGAGAUCCACAUGCUCACUUUAGAGACCAAUUUAUCUUAUGCUGCUAGCAAUUAAAGGAAAGUUGGAACUAUAAUUGAAAAAAAAAAUAAACCUAAACAAUUAGUAAGAAAUAACUCAUGUUUGGAUAUAUGAGAUUAUUUUAAGUACCCUUUGCUUUUUUAUUUGUUUACUACACACUUGAAUAUUGCAUAGACAUUUUGUACUCUUCUUGUAUAUUCCAGAAUUCCCUUCACUGUUAAAGAUAAAACUUAGUGAAGAUAGAAGAUAAAGUGGCCUGUGCAGGAUCUUUGGCCUCUGUUCAGCGCCUGGACGGUCACAUUGUCACAGAACAGACUUCGUUCUCCAUUCCACAGCUGACUCACUGGGAUAUGAUGGAUACAUGUUCAGAUAAAAAACCCAAACAUCAGCCAUCAUUGAACAUGAACAACUAAAUGGCUUCCUGAAAUUGCACAGGAAAGAUGAGCCGGUGGAGCAUUUUCAAGAAGCCAUGCAUCUAGAUAUCUCAAAUAGAUAGGAAAUUCACCCAUGCUUUACCGAAGCCAGUUAUAGAAACUGAGAUUGAAGAAACAAAAAAGGUGAAUUUGAAAAUAAAUUUAUCAUAUCAACGUGUAGCUUUAAGUCCGUAAAAUAACACAAGAUUUAACGCCGACCACACAACUCUGAUCUGGGGUCGUAUCUUAAGCGUAAAGGGAAGCUCGUGGCAGAUGACAGCCGUGUGGAACGAAUUCAUCCAGCCUUACACUGAAGCAUAAGGCUGAAGGAGGAACCACGCACAACUUAUUCUCUUCACAGAAGAGCUGUGAGACGGGCACCUCCGUUUCCCAAAAUAUUGCGAAAGGACCAAUCCGCGUCCACUCGCUUUGCGAGCCAAGGCUUUCGAUCGCUUCGCCACCACAAACACAACUUCAGAGGAAAGCGUCUUCUGCCCCGAACAGAGCCACGUUUUACUGCGAGUUCCAAACACCUUUUUCCACACGGGAAAUAUCUCGGGAGCAAAGCAAACGUCACGCUUAGUCUGAAAGGCGGCGGCCCCCGCGCCCCGCGAGCG